rnacentral:misc_RNA from 1 species
AACGCACCUUGCACUCCUUGGUAUUCCGAGGAGUAUGCUUGUUUGAGAGUACUGUAAUCAUCAAUCCUCCUUUACUUUUGUGAAGUUGGCUUGGAUUUGGGGAUUUGCUGGCCUUUCAUUAGAUCUGGCUUCCCUUGAAUGCAUUAGUUGAAUCGAGUUACAACGUUACGUGUAGUGUGAUAAUAUCUUCACUGCAUAGUUGUAAUGAAGUUUGGCUUCUAACAGUCCUUCAUUGGACAAUACUUUGAACAUUAUACCUCAAAUCAAGUAGGACUACCCGCUGAACUUAA